rnacentral:rRNA from 1 species
AUUGAACGCUGGCGGCAGGCCUAACACAUGCAAGUCGAGCGAGCGGCGGACGGGUGAGUAAUGUAUGGGGAUCUGCGCGAUCGAGGGGGAUAACUAGUGGAAACGGUGGCUAAUACUGCAUACUAUCGGUUGACUGUGGGGGGAUUAGAUAGGAGGGGGGGUAAAGGCUCACAAAGGCGACGAUCCCUAGCUGGUCUGAGAGGAUGAUCGGCAACACUGGGACUGAGACACGGCCCAGACUCCUACGGGAGGCAGCAGUAGGGAAUAUUGCGCAAUGGACGAAAGCCUGAUGCAGCAAUGCCGCGUGAGUGAAGAAGGUCUUAGGAUUGUAAAACUCUGUCGGCAGAGAAGCGGUACCCGCAGAGAAAGCACCGGCUAACUCCGUGCCAGCAGCCGCGGUAAUAC